GGGAGCUCGGUAAGAAGUCGCCAUCCACGUGCACUAUUGUUUUCCACGGAGGUUUGUAAUUUUUAUCUCGAGCUUUGAUUUCAGUUCCCUCAACCUUGGCCUUUCGGGGAGGGGCUACUGUUGCUGCCGGCCUCCGGGCGCAACGAGAAUUUAAAUACGGAGAGCACCCCGUUUCCUCCUCACCACGGCCGCGCCGUGCCGCACGCGCGCCUCAUCUCCCCGCCGCCGCGGGUCCCGUGACGACCCCACCAACCCAGCAGUCCGCCAGCCCGCGUCGGCCGGCCUCCCCUCCGCGGCUGCGACUCCACCACCCCCUCAGCAGGGUACCAGGCUUUGGCGCCUCCCACGGUCUCCGGACACACCAGGAUCCAGCUAUCCAGCCCCUGCUCUCAUCCUCUGCCCACCCGCGUGGAAGAGGUGCACGGAGAGGAUAGGGCGGCAGAGCCCCGCAGUCAGGAACCUCGGGUUAACACGACCCCAAAAGAUACCUGCUUUACUUCAGAUGUUUGGAUGCAGUACACACACACACACACACCCUCACCUGUUUUUGUUUUGUUUUGUUUUUUGGUUUUUUGCCUAUUCUUUGCCUGACACCAGGAAUGAGAUAGGCAAAUGUGUAUGUGUAAGGAAGCUGAAUGCAUACUUAGUUGAGCGACCCCUGAACUUUUGACAGCAUCCUCUUCCACUUUUGACAGCAUCCUCUUCCACUUUAAGGCGAAAGCACCUAACAUUAGACCAAGCUGUGAAGAAUCAUAGUUAUUUUGUCUUGGUGGGUGCCUAAGAAUUGGAGGAAUCUAACCGGAUAAGAUAGUCCACACCUGUAAGCCCAGCAGCCCUGGGAAGGCCGAGGCAGGAGACUCAGGUCGACUUUGAGGUGGACCUGGAUUACAUGGUGAGUUCAAUCUAGCCUGAAUCACAUACUGAGACCCUGUCAAAGAAAAAAAAAAAAAAACAGGGAAGAAUCAAAUUUAAACUUACUUGACCUUCUGAAGGUAGGCUUGCACUAUUCAGAGUCACUUAGGAAAUACUUUCUUGGGAGUGUGAAAAUAAACUAGAGAUGAUGGAGUAAAAUAAACCACAUGUGCUGUCUUUGGUGGGAUCCAGGUUAGCAGGACAAACCAGCUGCUUUCUGGACAACUGACUAAAUGUUUCAACUUGCUAACAAGUGACAACAAUCUGAUCCUGGUAGAACUAUAACAUUCUAAAAUUUUUUUUGAGGGAGUCUUUUUGAGACACGGUCUCACUAUGCAGUUCAGGCUGGCCUCAACUCGAAACAAUCCUCCUGCCCCAGCCUCCCAGUGCUGUGAUUACAGGCAGGAGCCACCAAACUCGGCUUUUCUUUUUCUUUUUUUCUAAAUAUUUAUUAAAAAGAAAAAACCCGCAAUCCAUUGUACUUACCAUCAGCAAGUGCCCAGCGCCUGAUUCCUUACUGCGUUCUCAAAACGUUGGUUCCAGUCCUGAUUCUGAUAGUUACUACUUUGUGCUACUCAUGUCACCUCUCAAUCUGUAAACAGUUGAGAAUAAAAUGAGAUAAUACGUAGAAACAUGCCCUGAAUGUAUUUAGAGCCUAUCAGACAUUAGCUCGCUGUCUUUUACCUCUUCCCUUCUGAGUUUGAGCUUACCCAGCUGGCCUUCUUGUCUCACCAACUGUGGCCUUCAUUCCUUCUGUAGGGGCAGAUCAGAGGGACAUAAACAAAAACCCAGGGCAAACACAGAUGACUAACUUUGUAGAAUCAUCACAUGCUUAUCUAUGGCUGAUGAUG
ensembl:lincRNA